ensembl:lncRNA
CGAUCAUUUGCAGAGGGAGGAGGGAGAAGUGAGAGCGGCUAGCAAAACCUCUGUGAUUUUCUGCCCUGGAAACAUGUGGAAGAGAUGUCCAGAGAAAAACGAGCAGGAAUUUUCAGAACAGAUGCUCGGGGUUUCUCCUCCAAAGGCCCAGAUUCUGGGAUCCGAGUGGCCCCCUGCAGGAGACCGUCCUCCUGGCAUGAACAGGCCAGUCUCCCUGGGAAGUGGCCAGAAACCAGGGUGCAGAUUGCAGUUCAGAGGAGCCAGAAACUUGGAAAGACACGACGUGCCCAGCAGAGAGGAAAACAGUUAAACGUUACUGAGCAAGCCCCAUAAGCACACAGCAGAAAUGAUCCACUUUGACCUCCACUGCCGCCCUUGUGAGGUACUCCCAGGUGACACAGUGGUGAAGAACCCGCUUGCCAGUACAGGAGAUGCAAGAGACAUGGGUUCCAUCCCUGGGUCGGGAAGAUCCCUGGGAGGAGGAAAUAGCAACCUACUCCAGUAUUCUUGCCUGGAAAAAUUCCAUGGACAGAAGGAGCCUGGUGGGAUGCAGUCCAUGGGUUCACAAAAUAGAAAGACACAAGAACCAGAGGCAGAAGAGGCUCAGCUAAGCAUAUCACCGGCCGGCCGGAGAGACGGCGACAGACAUCGGCCUCAUCCAUGCCAGUCUGGCUGUUACUCCGCCAAUUGAUUGUCUGAUUAAAACUCGGCAUGCUCACUUGAAAUGGGACAUUGACCCCCCAAAGACAUACUGUUCAGAAGGCGUGUUAGGGUCAGGGCUGGCCUGGAGCCCCACCGUUUCUGACAACAGGGUCUGUUCUGUCCUCUGAACUUUCCAUAAAUAGAAAUCUGUCCUUUUUGGACUUUAGCCUUUAUUUGUUUGAAAUGAACUGGAAACACCUGCUGUGUCUUUUCCAUCAUCAUCACCAGC